GACGAACGCUGGCGGCGUGCUUAACACAUGCAAGUCGAACGAAGAGGCUCCAGCUUGCUGGCGUGGAUGAGUGGCGCACGGGUGAGUAACACGUGAGGAACCUGCCCCUGACUGUGGGAUAUGCGCUGGAAACGGCGGCUCAUACUGGGUACGAGAUGUGUCAGCAUAGGCACUUUCUGGAAAGUUGGUCGGUUGGGGAUGGGCUCGAGGCCUAUCCGCUUCUUGGUGAGGUAAGGGAUCUCCAGGGCUACGACGGGUAGCCCGCCUGGGAGGGCGACCGGGCACAAUGGGACUGAGACAGGGACCAGACGCCUAUGGGAGGCAGCAGGCGGGAAUAUGGCACAAUGGCCGAACGCCAGAGGCAGCGACGCCGCGUGAGGAAUGACGGCUUUCGGGGGGUGAACCUAUUUCAGCGGAGAUAAAGCGGAAUUGACGGUACCUGCAGAAGAAGCACCGGCUAACUACGUG
rnacentral:rRNA from 1 species